rnacentral:rRNA from 1 species
UACGUAGGUGGCAAGCGUUGUCCGGAAUUAUUGGGCGUAAAGAGCUCGUAGGCGGUUCGACAAGUCGGGUGUGAAAACUCCGGGCUCAACCCGGAGACGCCACCCGAUACUGUCGUGACUGGAGUCCGGUAGGGGAGUGGGGAAUUCCUGGUGUAGCGGUGAAAUGCGCAGAUAUCAGGAGGAACACCGGUGGCGAAGGCGCCACUCUGGGCCGGUACUGACGCUGAGGAGCGAAAGCGUGGGUAGCAAACAGG